GACGAACGCUGGCGGCGUGCUUAACACAUGCAAGUCGAACGGAAAGGCCCUGCUUUUGUGGGGUGCUCGAGUGGCGAACGGGUGAGUAACACGUGAGUAACCUGCCCUUGACUUUGGGAUAACUUCAGGAAACUGGGGCUAAUACCGGAUAGGAGCUCCUGCUGCAUGGUGGGGGUUGGAAAGUUUCGGCGGUUGGGGAUGGACUCGCGGCUUAUCAGCUUGUUGGUGGGGUAGUGGCUUACCAAGGCUUUGACGGGUAGCCGGCCUGAGAGGGUGACCGGCCACAUGGGGACUGGGAUACGGCCAAGACUCCUACGGGAGGAAGCAGUGGGGAAUAUUGCACAAUGGGCGGAAGCCGGAUGCAGCACCGCCGCGUGCGGGAUGACGGCCUUCGGGUGGUAAACCGCUUUCGCCUGUGACGAAGCGUGAGUGACGGUAAUGGGUAAAGAAGCACCGGCGAACUACGU
rnacentral:rRNA from 1 species